UGAACAUGAAGGAGUCUUCAUGAAUGUUUACAACUGUUGUCAUGAAGUGUCAUUCGGUACAUAAUGACGCUUUUAUUGCAAAGUUGCCCUAAAAGUCCAUUAAAAGUCUCAACUUUGAAUUAAAAUGUCAUUAUUUACCGUAUGAAAACAGUCAUAGUCAUUCAGGAAGACUCCUUCAGGUUCAUAACCAGUGUUAUGUCAUGUUUAUGACGGUAUUAUGUCAGUCUUAUGCACACACCUUCAAAUAAAAUGUUACCAUGAAAGGCCAGAAAACAUGCAGCAGUAACCAGAAUUUUGUGUGACUGUAUGGAGCGAAGUAGUAAAGUCUCACUGUGGAUUCUGAAGGCAGCUACACUUUGACAACUAAAAAUAUUGGUUGUUUAAAGUAACUCUUGUCAAACUGAAUGGACAGUGUUUGACACUACAGAAUUAGAUUCACUGUUUUAGACCCGGAUCCGGUUCUUCUCCGUCGCAUCUUCCAGCUCUUCCAGUAAAAUGUUUGAGCUUCCUGUCUUUGUUAUUUUUGCAGCUGAUUGCAGGGCAGACAGUUAAUUUAAUCAGUGCAAAUUGCAGUUUGCCUUGGGUUUCUGCAAAUGGGUUUAAUCUUACAGUUCUAAUCAGCUAAGUGAGUCUUUAUGAACCGUCUUUGCAUGAUCGUGAAUUUAUAGCAGAAUAUAAAAAGGAAAUAGCGGAGAGGAUUCACAAAAUGACCGUUUUUAAAUCACUCUGUACCAGCAGAGAGUUGUGGAUCCUCCAGCACUUUAGUCAGGUCUUCAGCAUUUAAAAUAAAUAAUCUGGUGUUGAUUUAGAUUCAAACCGCAGCAGCAGCAGCAGCACAGAGGAUCCUCACAUUCAGUCAGACAUACCUGACAAAAACCAUGAAAAGUUAAACAAAGAGAAGAAAACAGCAGAAAAUGUGAAGAUGUACCCAGAGGCUACAGCUCCUGAUUAUUAAAGCAAUCCCUCAUCUCUCCAAAAAUUUGAGCAAAAAUCGUUAAUGUUUAGCUGCUGUGUUCAACAGAGUUUAACCAAAUAAACACAGUUUAAGCCGACGAUAAUUAUGUUAAUUUCUUGCAUUAUUUUGUAAAACAAAGUGUGGAAUAACUCAAUCUCUUCUGCCGAAUCCCAGCAGAGAGGCUUGUUGUGGAGGAACUCUCAGAAGUUCUAAUGAGCUGCAUUAAACAUGCAGAGAAACUCGUUCUUCUGUAGAUUGUUUUCUCAAAAAUACAUUUUCAUUCUUAUUCUCAUGCUGAGAUCUUCAGAUGUUCUGUUUGGACCCAACAGGAGCCUAAAAGCAACAGAUAUCCCUAAGGCUGACAGGCUACUUUUGUCAAAAGCCAUUUGAACACAAGCAGUCGUGGCACCGAGCCGCUGAAAGCUGGUUCUACUGUCUGUGGGUAUAAGCGAUGCGUGAACGUUUAUUUCUAGGAUUUAAGAAAAUACGCUAAUCAAAAAAAAAAUCAGUCUUCACUUGUAGGUGAACUCCACAGCAAGCAAAGAAUAAAUAAAAGUAAAUUUAAAAAACAAUGUAUGUCACCAUUUUUUUUUCUUCUUCUGCCCUAUUCCACUUCGCGCCGUGACCCAGUUCGUUUCUCUGUUGCGUCCACAAGGCGGCCACGCAGCGCUGCGGGGCCCGCACCGCUCCACAAACACAAACUCAUCCCGCUUUGUUUGCGCCUCUUCCUGCUUCCCAUCUGCAUAAACAACACCGGCUGGCUUUCAUCCAGAGGAUGGAGAGACGCAGCGACUGGCUCAGCUUCAUUUUCAUUCAAAGCUCAUCAUUCUUCCCACCUUGAAGCCCAUCUUGCCCUUCUUGCAGCAGAGGCAGGCCAGCAUGAGGAAGACGAAGGUGAAGAGACCCGAGAAGGAGAUGGCCACCACGGUCAGAGAGGACGACCAAGAGAGCUCGCUCAGUGGAGCGCCAUCUGCAGGACACAGAGAGCAAAGCACAAUGUCAGCUGCUGAACUCAACGCUGCGUGAUCAUCUGAUAAGGUCCGUGUUGGAGCAUGUUGUAAUUUAUAUCAGCAGCAAGACCAAAAGCAUAAAAAGCGAAGGGUUUCUGUUGCCUUUUGAUGAAUGUUCUGCUGCAGAGACGUUUGCAUGUUUGAUUUAAAACCUAGAAUCAUGCUUUUGUGUUGGGAAUGAAAUACUCUGGGACAAUAUAGUCCUGCAGAUUUUACUCACAGAACAAUAAAGUCGAAUAAACGCACAACGCAGGCGGCACAUUUUCUCCUCCACCUCGCUUUUUCAUUAAAGUUUUAUUUAGGGGGCCCAGAAGUGAUUUUCUAAUAAAUACAUUUCUCUAAAUUUCA